UAUUAUAGCUUUUAUUUUAUUGAAAUUACAAGCUAUGGAAAAUAUUUAGUUGUUCAAUGGAAGGGUAUUUUAGGAUUAAGAACAGAUUAUUUUGUGAUUUUUAUACCUCUUCUUCAAAUUGAAUGGGCAUUUUACUAAUUUAAUCUGGUCACAAAAAUUGGAUUUAAUAAAUUACUGUUCCUCCCAUGUUAUCAUGUAGUUGAGAAAAUGUCGACAUAUAUUAAUUUAUAUUUUUGCUUUGCUUUGCUUGUGACGUUUGCUUAUACUUGCGGACAUUUUUUAUCUAAGAUUCUUCAAAAUCAUAUUUUUUGAGCCGGGUGUGUUCUCCCGUACAAAGGAAUAUAGUUGCAAGGCAGAUAACUUUUGAAAGUUUCUUUUGAGUAUAUGAUGUGUUAAACACCGUCAAUUUUACCUAUAGCAGAGAGCCUUAGAAAACUCUCGGCAUUAUGAGAACAAAACGAUGUUGACCACUGGCGCAACUCAACUUUUCGCAACAUGCUCUUUCUGAUCGCUGAUCGAGUCGCUGUCCGACACAGGAAAUUAUCAUAAUCUUUACUUAUGUGCUUAGAGUCGGAUGGAAAAACCUAAAUACACAAGAAUACCCUCCAUUACGCAAACACUGCAAGUAAUUGAUGCUGUUAUCAGGACCAGUUGGAAUUGGACAUUUGCUGUGGUUCGAAUAAAGGGAUCAUUUCCAUGGGAAAACAAACAAUUCUUAAUCGCAACUUUAAUAAAAUACAAAUAGAAAAUACAGCAGAAUAAAUUUCUUGCUCAAUUCUAACUGCUGAUACAUAUAUUUUCCCAAACAUGUUUUAGUUUGUAUGGCCAAAAUUAUACAUCUUCAGACAAUCCAGAUCACUAAUGCAACUUUUUACUA